rnacentral:rRNA from 1 species
AUUGAACGCUGGCGGCAUGCUUUACACAUGCAAGUCGAACGGUAACAGGCCGCAAGGUUCUGACGAGUGGCGAACGGGUGAGUAAUGCAUCGGAACGUGCCCAGUCGUGGGGGAUAACUACUCGAAAGAGUAGCUAAUACCGCAUACGAUCUAUGGAUGAAAGCGGGGGACCGUAAGGCCUCGCGCGAUUGGAUCGGCCGAUGUCAGAUUAGGUAGUUGGUGGGGUAAAGGCUCACCAAGCCAACGAUCUGUAGCUGGUCUGAGAGGACGACCAGCCACACUGGGACUGGGACACGGCCCAGAGUCCUAAGGGAGGCAGCAGUGGGGAAUUUUGGACAAUGGGCGCAAGCCUGAUCCAGCAAUGCCGCGUGCAGGAAGAAGGCCUUCGGGUUGUAGACUGCUUUUGUACGGAACGAAACGGCUCUGGUUAAUACCAAGGGCUAAUGACGGUACCGGAAGAAUAAGCACCGGCUAACUACGUG